CUCUUCUUUCAAGGAUGGAACUAUAGCACUCCCCUUGACAAGGAUGGAACACAUAAAAAUGGUGAAGGCACACUUUACCACAAUUUUUG